UUCAACAGACAGCUCAUACCCCUGACUCGGUCUCAGCGUUGACACCUGGCGAGCACACCCGGAACUCCAGGCUGAGAGGUCACGGCUGUGGCUUUCUGCGUACCCACAGCCCUCACCUGCGGGGCUUGCUCUGGAAGGUGCUCGGCAAAUGUUUGCUACUCUGUUUCAUCGCUGCUCAUCACUGCUGACAUUUGAGGGGCAGGUCCGUGUGCCCGGUACCAAGGGGAGCAGCCUGAGCAUUUGACACGCACGUGACCUUGAGUCCUCAGACAAAGCCACAAGAAAAGCAUCAUUCUUACUGGCACUUUAAAGACGAGGAGACUAAGGCCCAGGGAGUAGGCGAGAGAGUGCGCACUGGAGCCCGGGCAGCCCGACUCCUGGGGCAGAGCGUCUCACCAUCACACUGGAGCUAAGCACUAGGUGCAGUAGACAGCUGGUUACCGAGAGUCAACAGGAACCACAGGGCGACAUGAGGCAACGUCAGAAAACCAGAGGGGACCAGACUCAACAUUGCAAGGAGGAUGGCCAUAAAGAUCAGAGAGCCUAGGCUUCCAGAGCCCUUAGACAUCCGGCCGCAUGAUGCAGUGAGAUCGGGCUGCCCAGCACGAGGCCGGGGGAGAAAGCCAGAAGGGAAGAAGACGACUGGGACGGCGAAGGCAUCCGUGAGCAAGAAGAUUUCUCGCUAUGCUCCGUCCACUCGCCUCCCGCCCACCAGGUGAAACACCGGAUAAAUUUGGGGAGCCCAGGUGCUAAAGGAUGUUUCUCUUGUCUCAUUGUGCUAUUUGAGUUCAUACAGAAUAUGGGCUUGGGGAUAAAAUAGAUCACAUCCUGGCUUUGUCACUUUCUAUGCAUCUGACAGUGGGGGGAUUAUAUAAUCACUGUGUGUUCAUUUCUUCAUCAAUAAAAACAAAAACAAUAGACACUUUACUACCCAUUACACAGAAAUGCAAUUUUCCAUCAUUCUCAAUGCUUGCCAGGACAACACGCACACACUUUCAUUCUCUCUCUCUCUCUCUCUCUCUCUCUCUCUCGGAUGUCCCUAAAGAGGGCAUAAGAAACAAUUCAGUUCUAGAGGACAUAUGCAUUUGGCAGCUCCAUACCUGUCAGAACACUUCGAGGGGCCUGGGAUUGCCUAGGAACCAAACAAUCAUAGAGCCUGCCUCCCAGACUUGGUGGGCACGUUGGCAAUGCAGUGUCAUUAAAACUCUCAAUUAAUGACCAGCCAUAGGAUUUUUCAAUGAGAGAAUUGGUUAGUUACCAAAGCCAGCAUGGGCCUUAGACCUGGGUAUGUAGGACUCCUGCUCUGAUCUUAGUGCUUUAAGGGACCCCAGCUUUGGAGUGCUUUCCGUGAGAUUUUCUAUCCCCCCCUCCAGCGCCUGAACUGGUCCAGAAUACUGUCUGGGCACUGCCUCUCAUCUUGCUGCCGCGGAUCUGCGUGGGUCCUGGUCACUGGAAGCACCUACCAGAACAUUUUCCAUGUCUUCCAACAGUGACUGGGAGCUACCCUCCAGGGCUGGCGGCACCAUCUGUCUGAAUGAGGCCCCUGAGCCCAGACCAAGACCUACAUGUACUCGAGUCUCUGUUUAUCUCCUUUGGGGGCACUCUGCCACCAUCCACAUCCCUCCCAAGCCCCUGAGAGGGAUUGACCAGACGCUCUGAGAAACUCUGAGGCUCUGUCCUAUGGCAUUGUCAUAGGCCUGGUUCCAGAAGGGCGGUCUGGUGAGGGGAUCGUUUCUGCCGGCCAGCACAGUAUUUCUCUUGCAGUAUCGCAAAGCCUGGGCUGGCAGAAUGGUGCCAGCACACUGUUUUUGGUGUCUCUCAUUUAUAUAGGACACCGGGUGAGUUCAGGGCUCUGGGCUCCCCGCGGUUGACGGCUGACCUUUGAGUUUGAGCCAUGAGAGCCGACCAUGUGUCAGUUACAGCGUCUCCUUGUCCCGGCUCCAGGGCCAGCUCCAGUCUAGAGCACUGUCGCCCUGCGUGCCCCCAGCAGCUGGCGCCCAGAGUAGGCACUUGCCUCUUCCUCAGGCUCCAUCCCAUGUCCUCCAGGACCGGACAGGCCCAUCUCCUCCGAGGGCUCCCGGGACUGUUGCUCUGCAACAUCAACAGACCUUUCUGAUCUAUGGCCUCUCUCGCCUUCCAUCAACACAAUCUCAUGCUCUCCUGGGCUCAUCUCAAGCUACACAGGACAAGGGACGGACACGUCUUGCACACAUGAGACUGCUCUUCUCUCUCUGCCCACAGGCCCCUCAUCUGUCCUCCCCACCAGCAGUGAUGUGCGAAAAGCGGGGGUGAGGUCAACACCAUAAGAGAUCACAUUCUAGAAAGGCAAUGAUGACGGCUUAUGGAGACCAAGGGAAGAUCCGAGUGGAGGAGGUGUUAUUCGGUGUUUGAACCAUACAAUUCUAGACGUGCGAGAUAAGAAAUACACCAGGAAUGACACAUUUGGCAAUAAGGAGGACAAAGAAUGGUUCCUGGGCCUGAAACGGGAAGAGGCGGCGCCGGGACGCUCCAAAGACUCUUUAUUGGCGCUGAUCGGACAGUAAACACAUACAGAAGCAUGGCUUCCGUACCCAUCAUUCUAAACCCUCACCGAUAAAUUGCCACCCCACCCCCGAGCUCCCGGAUUUCAGAGCACAUUUAAAAAAUUAAAUUGUACCUACAGCUCGCCUCCAUCCCCCUCCGAAACAGUGCUCGAGUAGGUGCCCCACGGACCGAGCGGUGACUCUAAUCAAAGCCGAAGGCCUUGUUGAGUUCUGGCGUUUGAACCUGUACCCCAGCCCGGUGGCUGCUUUUGUGUCAUAAUUGGUCUCAGUGUGAGGCAGGUAACCCCUAAUUCUUAAUCUAACAGCUUCCAUUUGGGGCUCAGCAUUUCAGCAAUAAAAACAGCAGCCUGGUUAUGAAGCCCUGUUAAUCUGCCCCUUGCUUCCAAGUUCAAAGCUUCCAUUCAAUUUGAGUGAAUGACUCAUUACACUGAGGAUAAUUAUUACCUUUGUCAGGCAAAGAGUACUCAUCUGGAGAUAUUUGGAAGGAGCCAAGGACUUCCCAUUUUCCACGGAUCUCUUCCUGGGACCAAUUUUAUCCCCCACCGUUCUUCCCUCCUCCUUGCCUCGUGAGCUCUAACUUCAGUGCGGGGCGUAAAGUCGGACUUUGUCAGUUCUGCCAAGAACUCGGGAUCAUGCUUUUCAGCCAGAGGUAUACGCUACUCCUUUUUGGCUUCCAGACAGAAUAGGCUUUCUUGUAGGACCUUGGGGAGAGCUACAAAAAGGUGCCCCCACGCUACAACCUGCUGAUAUUUUCCUACUAAGCCCAGCAGCUGGUUUGCGGAGCCAUAUCGCCAAUAUGAAGAUACAGGGGGUGACGAUUUAACCAGCUGCUUUGCUACUCCAAAAUGAGGACUUAUUUGGUUGGCAAGUAAUAGACAUUGAUACUGAAGAGGGAAAAUGACAUUUGUCUUAGUUUGCUCGGGCUGCCAUAAUAAAGUCCCAGGCGGAUGACCU